rnacentral:rRNA from 1 species
AGUAACGCGUGGGCAACCUGCCUUACACAGGGGGAUAACACUUAGAAAUAGGUGCUAAUACCGCAUAAGCGCACAGCUUUGCAUGAAGCAGUGUGAAAAACUCCGGUGGUGUAAGAUGGACCCGCGUCUGAUUAGCUGGUUGGCAGGGUAAAGGCCUACCAAGGCGACGAUCAGUAGCCGGCCUGAGAGGGUGAACGGCCACAUUGGGACUGAGACACGGCCCAGACUCCUACGGAAGGCAGCAG